rnacentral:rRNA from 1 species
CCUACGGGCGGCAGCAGUCGAGAAUCAUUCACAAUGGGGGAAACCCUGAUGGUGCGACGCCGCGUGGGGGAAUGAAGGUCUUCGGAUUGUAAACCCCUGUCAUGUGGGAGCAAAUUAAAAAGAUAGUACCACAAGAGGAAGAGACGGCUAACUCUGUGCCAGCCGCCGCGGUAAUACAGAGGUCUCAAGCGUUGUUCGGAAUCACUGGGCGGAAAGCGUGCGUAGGCUGUUUCGUAAGUAGUGUGUGAAAGGCGCGGGCUCAACCCGCGGACGGCACAUGAUACUGCGAGACUAGAGUAAUGUAGGGGGAACCGGAAUUCUCGGUGUAGCAGUGAAAUGCGUAGAUAUCGAGAGGAACACUCGUGGCGAAGGCGGGUUCCUGGACAUUAACUGACGCUGAGGCACGAAGGCCAGGGGAGCGAAAGGGAUUAGAUACCCGGGUAGUC